AGCUGUAUAUUGAUAAGUAGUCCCUGAGGUAAUUUGAUGCCCUGGGGGAUGAAUGCCCAGAGAAACAGAUGAAGUCAGAUUAGGAAAUCGUUCACCUGCCAGCUGUUAGCACAGAAGAAUUUCUGAAGCUGUGAUCUGCAGUUAGCCUGGUGUGAGCCAGUUUAUUAGCUUGUUUGGAUGUUUAGAGUCUCUUUUACCAGUGUUUCUGAAUAUUUCCUCUGACAGUGUUGAUGGAGAAAAGAGGCUGAGCUAUGAUAAUCAUAUCCAGAUGGAGAUGUCCCUUAUUCACUGGAUUUGUGGAAUACCACUUGUGGGAAAUGCAGGAGAAGCCCAUCUGCAGCCUCGUCGCGUCUGCUCCUCAGCCUGCUGGCAGCAAAGCGGCACGUGUUGCGUUACGGAGAGGCUUGGAGCCAGCCCUGCCUGAUACACUUGUAUGUUGCAUAUUUACAGUAUCUUGUUACAUUCCUUAUGAGUGCUGACAUCUCUGGGUGUAAUGUAUUCAGGAUCAAUAAGUGCCAUUAAAAUCUUUAUGCAUGUUGUAGUUAAGAGGUAGGGAGUGUUUGAACAAGUCCCAAGUU
rnacentral:lncRNA from 1 species